UUACACGAACUACUUAUGGACGAAAAUUUGUUGAAACCAGCACUAUUAGAGUUACAUUCUGGUGUUGCUAUUCUGGUAAAUUCAAGUGAAAAAGAGGAACAUGAUUGGGGAAAAAAGGAACCCUACCAUAGCUCCCAUAUAAGUAUUUGUGCUCUUAACCCUACCUCUCUUUACCUUCUUACUGCCGCAUUCCUCCACGUCUCUCAUACACCACCACUUUUACAUACAUAAUGCUUUUCUCGUCCUUCUAGAGUCUUUCCUGCUGGAAUUUUCACAGGAGAAGAAGUAGAGAUGGAACUGGGCAAUGCAGCGCAGGAACAGUUGCAGAAAACAGUUUGGUGGGCGCCAAUAAGGCCCGACAAGUGCUUGUUACGGUUCGGCCGGUUAUUUUAUAAAAUUUGUACCAUAUUAAUUUUUCAGUUAUUCUAUUAUGUAUAACCAAAUUUAGACUUUUAGAAACCGUACCAAUCAUGUCGUUUUCUCUUCGGUAUCGGUACGGUUCGGUUAAUUUUCGAUAUUUUUUUAAAUGUCAUUUAAAAGUCACUAGUAGAAGCAGAAUGCAAUAACUAUGGACUUUUAUAGGA